rnacentral:rRNA from 1 species
GACAGAGGGUGCCACCGUUGUUCGGAAUUACUGGGCGUAAAGCGUGUGUAGGCGGCUACGUAAGUCGGAUGUGAAAGCCCCAGGCUCAACCUGGGAAGUGCACUCGAUACUGCGUAGCUUGAGUAUCGGAGAGGUUGGUGGAAUUCUCGGUGUAGAGGUGAAAUUCGUAGAUAUCGAGAGGAACACCGGUGGCGAAGGCGGCCAACUGGACGAAUACUGACGCUGAGACACGAAAGCGUGGGGAGCAAACAGG